rnacentral:tRNA from 1 species
GCUCAGUGGAAGAGCACCUGCCUGGCAUGCACAAAGCCCUGGGUUCAAUUCCCAG